AGCGAACGCUGGCGGCAGGCUUAACACAUGCAAGUCGAGCGGGCACCUUUCGGGGUGUCCGCGGCGGACGGGUGAGUAACGCGUGGGAACGUGCCCUCUGGUUCGGAAUAACUCAGGGAAACUUUAGCUAAUACCGGAUACGCCCUUUUGGGGAAAGGCUUGCUGCCUGAGGAUCGGCCCGCGUCUGAUUAUCUAGUUGGUGAGGUAACGGCUCACCAAGGCGACGAUCAGUAGCUGGUCUGAGAGGAUGAUCAGCCACACUGGGACUGAGACACGGCCCAGAAUCCUACGGGAGGCAGCAGUGGGGAAUAUUGGACAAUGGGCGCAAGCCUGAUCCACCCAUGCCGCGUGAGUGAUGAAGGCCUUAGGGUUGUAAAGCUCUUUUAUCCGGGACGAUAAUGACGGUACCGGAAGAAUAAGCCCCGGCUAACUUCGUG
rnacentral:rRNA from 1 species